rnacentral:lncRNA from 1 species
GAAAAAUCUGUAAGCCGGCAGAGAAGGAGAAAAAAAUUGGCAGAAAAAAAAAAGGGAAGAAAAAGAAGGAGAAAAAGGAAAAGAAAAAGAGGAAGAAGAAGGGAAAGAGGUAGUUUAAGGCUUAUUUUCAUUUUUCUCUUCUCUUUAUUUUCUUCAAGGGGUAGAUAAAUUUUAUGUUAAAUUUCUAGGGUUUUAAUUUGGUUCGAAAUUUCAGAUUUAGAGAAAGGAUUAUGAUCUAUAGCUCAAGCUUCUUGAUUGGUUCGUCUCCAUUUGAAUUAAGGUAAGAAAUAUCAAAUUUUUUUGGGCAAACCCUAGAAUUUUUAAUUGGAUUCUUAAGUAAGAAUAUUUCAUGGAAAUGAUUAUAUUGAUGGAAUACUCAUAUGAAAGCAUGAAGUUGAGAAACAAGAUGAAUGUUUAAAUGGGUGGAAUUAUGGUUACUAGUUUGCUAUUGGAAAGUAUAAUUAUUUUUAUGAAUGGGAUGAAAGUAAAAUUAGCUCCAAUUGAUUAAAAUAAAUUUAGGAAAAUUUGGCAAGUUUCAGGAAAUUUAGUUUAAUUAUUAUAUCAUUAGAGAUAAAGGGUUUAUUGAUUUUAAUUGUGAUUAAAUUAGUUAUUUUGUAACGUAUUUCAAGUAGUGACGAAGAAAUUGAAAAGACUUACCGAUCGGCCUAGUUUGUAGCUCGUAUAGUGUAAGUGGAUAUAAAUUUAUUUUUCAGAAAUUAGUAUUUAAAAAAUUCAUAUUAAAUCAGAAAAUUUAUUAAUGCAUACAGUUGAAUUGACAGUACGAUUUUCAGAAUAAAGUUGAUUUAUAAACAGUUUUUUUAAGUUAAAUUCAGUUCAGUUAAAUAAUUUCUUUGGCAUAUUAUUUCAGUAUUAAAUAGUUUAGCAUAUUUAAAAUUAUUUUCUAAAAAUCACCAGAAAAUAUCCAGGUGAUUUACCCGCUUUGCACUGGUGUGAAUGUGUUUCCACAGUGUAUGAUCAGUUAUGGUGAUUUUACCCGCUCUACACUAUUGUGAAUGUGUUUCCAUGGUAUAUGACUAGAUAGCUCUGUACGCGUAUGACUAAAAUUUCGAAAUUGGAUAGCUUUCCCAUGUCUAUCGGUGCUAAUUGAUACAUGAGUAAAGUUAUCCUGGUUGUCUUUUUGGUGUGAUUUUUUAGUAUUAUACAGCUUAUCAGAUUUGAGAAUACAGAAUUUAGCUUAUUCAAUUUAAAGAAUAGAGAUUUAGCUUUAAGUACUAUGUAAUGAUAUUUUUAUUAUAAACCAGUUUUUAGAAAGCUAGCAUAAAUGGAAAAAGUAUAUGAGUUUACAAAAUUAUUCGCUCACUGAGUUACGAGCUCAUAUAUUUCAUCUCCCUUUUUCUUAUGAGACAGUAGCUUUUCUUAUGAGACAGUAGCUGUGUUAAGCCGCAUUGGAGCCUAUUGAAUUACCAAAUUGAGCCACUCAAUUGUUAUUUGUAUGUUUAUUUUUGUUAGUUUAUACAGUUCAUAAUUUUUGGGGUAGAUGCAUCUUUUGUCAGUUUAUAUCGUGGCCUCAUUACAUAAUUUUGUAUAAGCAAUGCAUUUAGAGUCCUCUGGUUGGUUGUGUUUGGAAAGUUUGAUGUACCAUGUUUUAAAUUAUAUAUAUUGGUUUGAGAAAGUUGAUAAAAUUUUCAGGUGAUUUUAGUUCAUAUAUUAGAGGAAACUCUAUCAAAUUUUUAUAAAAUUAUCUCACAGCCAAAGCAAAUCAUAAUUGGCUUGGUGGUGGGUUCGGCAUUUAGCUGGUAUCCCUCAUUGACGCACGACACGUGUCGAAUCCAUUAGGGUGAUUCGGGACGGAUCGUGUCAAUGUAUGUUUGAUAACAUUUACUAUAGCAGGAAUACAAAUGAACCUGAUUAUCACAAAUUGU